GUGCUCACUUCAGCAGCAUAUAUCCUAAAAUUGGAAUAAUACAGAGAAGAUUAGCAUGGCCCAUGCACAAGGAUGACUUGCAAAAUAAGGGAGGAUAGAGAAGUGUGA
ensembl:snRNA U6 U6 spliceosomal RNA